GUGUAGAGGUUUGUCAUUCUUUUCUUGUUUGUAGCAGCUCUGAUCUUCACCGUAGAGUUAUUCAUGCAGCACAAACAAAGUCAUUCCUUAAUCAUGUGAGCGUCAUUAUAGUCUGUGGUGUAUGCCAACCCUUCAUGGGUGGGCUCUCUCCUAACCUUCUGAGAAUGGUUUUUUGCAGCACACAGAUUGUAUUUAGCUAUUGCUAUGUUAUUGACAUAUGGAAUGUGGAGUCUAUAGUCGAAAUUUGUGGAAUGUGGAGUCACACAAUAAAACCAAAGUUAGGGAUUCACACCUGAAACUUCCAAGAGGUAGCUAUUUUUAUUUUCUAUAGCUGAAAUGGAUCAUGUUAGUGUCCACAAUGUUUCUACAUUCAAAUGCAACCAGCCACAAGUGGGCUCUUGGAGGUAAACUUACCUUUUACGAUCAUCAUAAAUAGUAUUUAUUUUUCCUUUUUUCUACAAAAUAAUUUUUUUCUUGAAGAAUUACAUUGAACUUUAGAUUCAAUUAAAAGGAGUAGCCAUUUUGGGUAGUUAACUUUAUUUCCUAGCAUUCUGUUUCCAUAGCUUUUGCUGAGCUUUUGGAUAGCUCUUUGGAUGAGGUAUUUGCAAUUCUCUAUGUUUGAUCAAGCAUUGCUGGAUAACUCUUUGGAUGUAAUAUGGAAAACAUGAUUAGUUUCUCAUGCCUGUGAUUAUUUCCUGGCAUUUUGUUUCCAAAACGCCUUGUGUUCAUGACUGUCCUUGAUCAUUAUUCAAACACACCACCUGCACUUAAGGUAUAAUUUCGGUAUGAUUUAGUUCAUGGUGUCUGGAACCUGGAGUUUUUUGAUAAACGAGUUAUGUGAGAUUGGUGGUUUAAUUGGUGGAAAUGUGAUUUUUGGUUAUGUUUUUAAGCAAACAGACUCUAGUGGCAAGCGGCUCAAAGUUGCAGGACUCGGAGAGGAGAACGAGGACUCAAAAGCGGAGGUGGAAGCAACUUCAGGCAACGAUAACAAGCUGGUUGAACAAAGUGCUCAAUCUUCAGAGGCAGCAAAGCAAGAUUACAUCCAUGUGAGAACGAGAAGGGGUCAAGCUACUGAUAGUCAUAGUCUAGCUGAGAGGGUAGGCAUUUUUUCUUCUCUGUGUGCCUUUUUCUAGAAUACCCAACAAUGGUUUUUGAAAUGUUUGGGAUUACGACUGAUAGUUUUUGAAAACAUCUAUGCUAGUUCUGAUGGUGGACAUUUUUUUAAAAUUCCACUUGACUUUCUUGGCUCGCUUUUUUGAAAUUUGAUCCAACUUUAUCCAAGUCGUCAACGUCGUGAUCUUAUUGCAUAUGGUUUGAUACCAGAAUUUAUUGGACGGUUUCCAAUACUCGUUAGUUUGUCAGCUCUAAACGAGGACCAACUUGUUCAGGUAGUUAUCUUUGGCAUGAGCUCUGCUCUGUGUGUGUUUAUGUGGAUCUCCAUGAAUUCGGGUAGGUAUAUGAACCUUUAUAAGCUUUUAUAGUGAUGUAAUGUUAUGAUUUUGUGAUGCAUUCUGAAUUGUGAGUGGUUGAAACAACCCUAUGCUUAAGGAGCAUAUGCAAUAUUGCAUCAAUACAGAUUGGCCCAAUUGGGAAUGGAGCAUACCCCAAAUUUCAAUCUGACAGAAUGAUUCCAACCAUUCAUUUGGAUGCUACAAUCCUGAAAUCCCUCUCUCCAUUGUUUUCCAAUGGAAAAACUUGCUUCUAAGGCAUGUAAUUCAUCAAGUGAAUGCAUGCGAUUGAUGGCAAAUGGUGGAACAUUUGAACUUGGCAUUGUUGAACUUUUAGUGUCAAACUUAUCUAUCAUGGAAUAGUUCUAAUAGGAUAUAAUAGUCACUAAAAUUCCUCUAUCAUGUGCAUGGAAAUAAUGUGUGGCUAUUUGAGAUAAAUGAACUGCGUAAAUUAAAGAUGGUAGUUUGGAAUCCUCAUGAUUCAUUUGUUGUAUAUUUCAGGUUAUGUGAAGGUGGGGAGCUCUUAGAUAGAAUACUUUCCAGGUGAUUCUUUGCUGAUUAUGUUUAUUAAAUUCUGUCAUCAUGGUUUCAUUGCAUUCAAACAUGAACUCAAAAGAAUCGAUCCUGAAGCCUUUGGAAUGGACUAUUGUGUAGUUUAAAGAGGUUUCCCAAUUCCCUUAUGCAAUUUUGUUUAUUUUAUUUUAUUUUAUUUUAUUUAUUUUAUUUUAAUUUUGUUUUGCUUCUAUUAUGUUUCUGGUUAUUUUAAUCAAAAUUCUCUAGGAUUAGACUUUUAGGACUGUAACAGCCUGUUACCUCUCAUGACUUCUAUUAUUCCUUCCCAAUCCAAAUUGCCUAGAACUUCUGUUUAUACAUAUAUAAUACUUGGUUUUGGUUGUGGCAAUUAAUUGCAUGUAUUAGGAGAAAAGGUUUCCAUGGUUCCUUACUACCAAGCAGUUGCCAGAACUAAAGAGGAAAGGUAGCCCACUAGUUGGAAUUUCUGAUAUAACUUGUGACAUUAAAGGUUCAAUAGAAUUUAUUAACCAGACCGCUUAAUUGGAGAGGCCUUUCUUCGGAUAUUAUUCUAGUGUUUCAUGGUAAAAAGUAAAGGAAAGAAAAGAGAAAUUCAAUAUCCUGCAUUGUUCUCUAGAUUUGCAAAGAGGAAAUUACAUGAGUUUGUUUAUCUCGGGAAUCAACUACAGGUUUCGUAUGCUCCUCAGUUCGAGUCUCUUUCUGAUAUGAAGGAGAAAUUGGAAGGCAAGGGAAAAGAAGUUCUAAGCCGACUAAACUCUAGAAGAUCCAAAGGAUCAGAGCCUUCCAAGCAAAUGUAAUG